rnacentral:rRNA from 1 species
AUAAACGACUCUCGGCAACGGAUAUCUCGGCUCACGCAUCGAUGAAGAACGUAGCAAAAUGCGAUACUUGGUGUGAAUUGCAGAAUCCCGUGNACCAUCGAGUUUUUGAAUGCAAGUUGCGCCCGAAGCCAUUCGGCCGAGGGCACGUCUGCCUGGGCGUCACG